CCUACGGGUGGCAGCAGUGAGGAAUAUUGGUCAAUGGACGAGAGUCUGAACCAGCCAAGUAGCGUGAAGGAUGACUGCCCUAUGGGUUGUAAACUUCUUUUAUAUGGGAAUAAAACGUUCCACGUGUGGGAUUUUGUAUGUACCCUAUGAAUAAGGAUCGGCUAACUCCGUGCCAGCAGCCGCGGUAAUACGGAGGAUCCGAGCGUUAUCCGGAUUUAUUGGGUUUAAAGGGAGCGUAGGUGGAGUGUUAAGUCAGUUGUGAAAGUUUGCGGCUCAACCGUAAAAUUGCAGUUGAAACUGGCAGUCUUGAGUACAGUAGAGGUGGGCGGAAUUCGUGGUGUAGCGGUGAAAUGCUUAGAUAUCACGAAGAACUCCGAUUGCGAAGGCAGUUCACUGGACUGCAACUGACACUGAGGCUCGAAAGUGUGGGUAUCAAACAGGAUUAGAUACCCUGGUAGUC
rnacentral:rRNA from 1 species